GCCCGGUUAGCUCAGCUGGUUAGAGCGUCGUACUAAUAUAGCUCCUGGUCAUAUCGAGUCAUGCGAAGGUCAACAGUUCAAUCCUGUUACUGGGCA